AUUGAACGCUGGCGGCAGGCCUAACACAUGCAAGUCGAGCGGAGCGGCGGACGGGUGAGUAAUGCCUAGGAAUCUGCCUGGUAGUGGGGGAUAACGUCCGGGAACGGGCGCUAAUACCGCAUACUAUCAGAUGAGCCUAGGUCGGAGUAGCUAGUUGGUGGGGUAAAGGCCUACCAAGGCGAAGAUCAGUAACUGGUCUGAGAGGAUGAUCAGGCCAGCUGGACAGGAGACACGGUCCAGAUUCCUACGGUAGGCAGCAGUGGGGAAUAUGGGACAAUGGGCGAAGGCCUGAUCCAGCCAUGCCGCGUGUGUGAAGAAGGUCUUCGGAUUGUAAAGCACUUUAAGUUGGGAGGCGUUACCAACAGAAUAAGCACCGGCUAACUUCGUGCCAGCAGCCGCGGUAAUUC
rnacentral:rRNA from 1 species